rnacentral:rRNA from 1 species
AGUAUGGGAUAGCCACUAGAAAUGGUGGGUAAUACUGUAUAAUCCCUGCGGGGGAAAGAUUUAUCGCUAUUAGAUGAGCCUAUGUCAGAUUAGCUAGUUGGUGGGGUAAUGGCCUACCAAGGCGGUGAUCUGUAGCUGGUCUGAGAGGAUGAUCAGCCACACUGGAACUGAGACACGGUCCAGACUCCUACGGGAGGCAGCAGUGGGGAAUAUUGGACAAUGGGCGCAAGCCUGAUCCAGCUAUGCCGCGUGAGUGAGGAAGGCCUUAGGGUUGUAAAACUCUUUCAGUAGGGAAGAUAAUG